rnacentral:rRNA from 1 species
GGGUGGUAAUGCCGGAUGUUCCACAUGAUCGCAUGUGAUUGUGGGAAAGAUUCUAUCGGCGUGGGAUGGGGUCGCGUCCUAUCAGCUUGUUGGUGAGGUAACGGCUCACCAAGGCUUCGACGGGUAGCCGGCCUGAGAGGGCGACCGGCCACAUUGGGACUGAGAUACGGCCCAGACUCCUACGGGAGGCAGCAGUGGGGAAUAUUGCACAAUGGGCGCAAGCCUGAUGCAGCGACGCCGCGUGAGGGAUGGAGGCCUUCGGGUUGUAAACCUCUUUUGUUUGGGAGCAAGCCUUCGGGUGAGUGUACCUUUCGAAUAAGCGCCGGCUAACUACGUGCCAGCAGCCGCGGUAAUACGUAGGGCGCAAGCGUUAUCCGGAUUUAUUGGGCGUAAAGGGCUCGUAGGCGGCUCGUCGCGUCCGGUGUGAAAGUCCAUCGCUUAACGGUGGAUCUGCGCCGGGUACGGGCGGGCUGGAGUGCGGUAGGGGAGACUGGAAUUCCCGGUGUAACGGUGGAAUGUGUAGAUAUCGGAAAA